rnacentral:rRNA from 1 species
GAUGAACGCUGGCGGCGUGCUUAACACAUGCAAGUCGAACGAUGAAGCCCAGCUUGCUGGGUGGAUUAGUGGCGAACGGGUGAGUAACACGUGAGUAACCUGCCCUUGACUCUGGGAUAAGCCUGGGAAACUGGGUCUAAUACUGGAUAUGACUUCUCAUCGCAUGGUGGGGGGUGGAAAGAUUUAUUGGUCUUGGAUGGACUCGCGGCCUAUCAGCUUGUUGGUGGGGUAAUGGCUCACCAAGGCGACGACGGGUAGCCGGCCUGAGAGGGUGACCGGCCACAAUGGGACUGAGACACGGCCCAGACUCCUACGGGAGGCAGCAGUGGGGAAUAUUGCACAAUGGGCGCAAGCCUGAUGCAGCGACGCCGCGUGAGGGAUGACGGCCUUCGGGUUGUAAACCUCUUUCAGUAGGGAAGAAGCGAGAGUGACGGUACCUGCAGAAGAAGCGCCGGCUAACUACGUG